AGCAGCCGCGGUAAUUCCAGCUCCAAUAGCGUAUAUUAAAGUUGUUGCAGUUAAAAAGCUCGUAGUUGAAUUUUGAGAUGGGUUGACCGGUCCGCCUCACCGCGUGCACUGGCUCGGUCCGUCUUUUCCUUCCGGGGAACCCCAUGCCCUUCGCUGGGUGUGUGGGGGAACCGGGACUUUUACUGUGAAAAAAUCAGAAAGCUUCAAUUGGGCCUUCGCUUGAAUGCUUCAGCAUGGAAUAAUGGAAUAGGACGUGCGUCUCUAUUUUGUUGGUUUCUAGGGACGCCGUAAUGAUUAAUAGGGAUAGUCGGGGGCAUCAGUAUUCAAUUGUCAGAGGUGAAAUUCUUGGAUUUAUUGAAGACUAACUACUGCGAAAGCAUUUGCCAAGGAUGUUUUCAUUAAUCAGUGAACGAAAGUUAGGGGAUCGAAGACGAUCAGAUACCGUCGUAGUCUUAACCGUAAACUAUGCCGACUAGGGAUCGGACGAUGUUAUUAUUUUGACUCGUUCG
rnacentral:rRNA from 1 species